rnacentral:rRNA from 1 species
AGUGAACGCUGGCGGUAGGCCUAACACAUGCAAGUCGAACGGCAGCACAGUAAGAGCUUGCUCUUACGGGUGGCGAGUGGCGGACGGGUGAGGAAUACAUCGGAAUCUACUUUUUCGUGGGGGAUAACGUAGGGAAACUUACGCUAAUACCGCAUACGACCUACGGGUGAAAGCAGGGGAUCUUCGGACCUUGCGCGUUUGAAUGAGCUGAUGUCGGAUUAGCUAGUUGGCGGGGUAAAGGCCCACCAAGGCGACGAUCCGUAGCUGGUCUGAGAGGAUGAUCAGCCACACUGGAACUGAGACACGGUCCAGACUCCUACGGGAGGCAGCAGUGGGGAAUAUUGGACAAUGGGCGCAAGCCUGAUCCAGCCAUACCGCGUGGGUGAAGAAGGCCUUCGGGUUGUAAAGCCCUUUUGUUGGGAAAGAAAAGCAGCAGGUUAAUACCCCGCUGUUCUGACGGUACCCAAAGAAUAAGCACCGGCUAACUUCGUG